GAUGAACGCUAGCGGCAGGCUUAACACAUGCAAGUCGAGGGGCAGCACUUGUAGCAAUACAUGGUGGCGACCGGCGCAAGGGUGCGUAACGCGUGAGCAACAUGCCCGUAUCAGGGGGAUAAUCCAGGGAAACUUGGUCUAAUACCCCAUAGCAAUUAUUUGAGGCAUCUUAAAUAAUUUAAAGCUUUGGUGGAUACGGAUUGGCUCGCGUGACAUUAGCUAGAUGGUAAGGUAACGGCUUACCAUGGCUACGAUGUCUAGGGGUUCUGAGAGGAAGAUCCCCCACACUGGAACUGAGACACGGUCCAAAACUCCUACGGGAGGCAGCAGUGAGGAAUAUUGGACAAUGGAUGGAAAUCUGAUCCAGCCAUGCCGCGUGCAGGAAGACGGCCCUAUGGGUUGUAAACUGCUUUUGUGUGGGAGCAAUAAGGUCUAUGCGUAGACUGAUGAGAGUACCAUACGAAUAAGCAUCGGCUAACUCCGUG
rnacentral:rRNA from 1 species